rnacentral:lncRNA from 1 species
UCCUACGUUCGAUCCUACAUGUUUCUCAGGAAGCGAAGAUUGCACGUAGAUAUGAAACUUGCGCGGCAUGCGGGCGCGCGCAAACUUUUCCAGGCUAUCACCCCGCUGAGAAUUCCAGCUUUACCAACGAGGGGGUGUAUCCUGCCACGGAGUUUUCUCCGAAAAAGGAAAUGCUGGCGUCAUCCGGCGGGCAGAGCUCGAACUACAAAUGUAGCAUCAGCGUUGGAGGGGUAGUAGGGGUUUCAUCCCCUUCAUGCCCCUCGUAGAAAGGGAUGACGGUCGGGGUGGGAGCACGCGGUACAAGCCCAUGUUACACUCAUCGGAAUUGUUUUUCUCUCCGUUGCAUUUUUAUUUUGUGAAAUAUAAAACCAUCUAUUAUAAGCUUGUGAGAGAGACUCUCGACGACGUUACAAAUCAUUUAGCAGAUUCUUAGACUUCAUUGUCAUUAGUAUAAAAAUGCAAUACAUUAAUUUUUUAUGAGUGUAUAAAAGUAUAUCUAAAAAUGAUAAAAGAUAAGAGCAGACUAGUACAACAUAAAUAAGCGCAUAUAAAAAUAUUUUACAAUAAAUGUCGUAAAAAAAUAUUAUCAUUUUUAUUAAGACAACUUAUAUUUCAUUAGAAAUGUUCUGAUAAUGCCGAGAAUUUUCUCACGGAAAGGAUACAGGAGAAGAGUAACUACCCAUUAGCUAAAAGCCAUAAGAUGCAUAAAAAUGUUCAACAUUAUGCAUUACGCGAUAUGGUUUUAAGUCUAAAAAAAUUUGCCUCGUGAAGAAUGGACUGUCGGCUGUACACCCCACCACGGAAGAGUGAGUGCACAAGUGGGGGUGAAUCGAUACAGCCGCGAUACAACAGCUGAAGCUUCGAAACUCGAAAUAGGAAUGCGCACGCACCCCCUUCCAACGUGACUCUAUUGAGCCUCGGAACAGUGUAACGCGAGGAAAUCAUUCGUAGCGGACAGGUGACUCCUCCAGCUCUAUCUACGUACGCGUACGGCAGAUGUAUAUAUUUUUAAGCGUCGUUCACCAUCAGCCAACGUAAUUGAGCACGCACAAUCAACAGAGUCCGCUGGAUUCGGAUUACGCUGGCAAUUCGAAUCUUAUUUAUCAACUCCAAAAUCUCGUCGACUAUACGCCCGUGGUCUUAUCUACAUCCCAGCUGCGCUUCGUCCCGAUCUCGACCGUCGGGAGAGAAGUCUCUGUGUGCAGAAGGGAAUCUUGCCCAAGCUGGCGCCGGCCCCGAGGGAGUUUCGACUAAUUUCCCGUAGGUCCAAGUCGAAAUAGACCGUUAACACCCCCGUGGAAGCGUAGAACACAAAUGUAAGACGAGGGAAGGUAAGCGCUAAGGGCGAGAAAGGUGGAAGAUGGAAGAACCGAAGCGAAACGGUGCAUAAGAUAGCUGCCAGCGGGAUGAACGGGCGAACGAGCGAGGGCGAGCGAGCGGACGAACCAGGAGAGGAUGGAUGUAAAAUAAGAAGAGAGAAGAACGGGGGAGAAAUCCCGGCAACGAGACGCAGCAGUGGGGAGAAAUUCUCAGGGCGGAGCGGGCUGCGCGUGCCUUUCACCACUGUAUGCUCCCCUUCGACCACCCGUAACGACCGGAAAUUUGGAAACUUGACACUACGAAGAGGAUUGGCGUGGUUCUCCGUGAGGUCACUUCGGAGUUUCUCCACCGGACACACUUUGCCCGAGAAUGAAAUCGUUCUACCGUACGACACUGUUGUUCAACUAUCCCUUCCUAUUUGCCCUUUCUCUUUCCCGUUUCCCUUCCCUUCUCUCCCUCCCUCCCUCUCUUUCUCUCUCUGUCUUAUUUAUUUCUCCAUUAUCGUCUCUUUCUCUCUCUUCUUCCUUUUUUCUGCAAUUUUGGUUUUAUACGAUUAUCCGUUCCGGCUAUAACGUACGAGCUAUAACGGUGUAUACGCAGAAUUAUCAUCGUUUUGAUAAGGUAAGGAGAAAAGCAGAUAACGACGAAAUUAGAAAGGAAGAGACAAGAAAAAGAGAAGCAUUGUGCAGCCAAAAGAGGCAGCGCUUUAUAGCAGUACGAUGGAAAUACAAUGGCACUCAUUCUGCCGGCUUUCCAUGCUCGCCAGGCUGCUAUCCCCGGUUCUCGCACCCUCUCUUUCGCCUACCUGUAUAACUGGAAACUUUGCAUAAAUAUACUAUAACUAUUGUUUCGCAAGAGCCAUUGGUGGGAGCGCGUCUGGUUAUUUAUGGUUGUGGGUUAAUGAAUUUCUCCUUUCAGGCUCGAUUUAUUGGCUAAUCAGGCCUGCCCGAUGCCAGCUUUAUCUCGUGGAUAAGUUGCAGCGAAACUGCCGAUGGGAAAAAGCAGACUAUGGUGAUUGAACAAUCUUCUUAUGACAAGAAUGCUAUUAAAUUUCAAUGCUCCGCUAUUGCUAGUUCUUCUUUAAUAUACAUAAGCACCUUGUUAAAAAAAUAUUAAAAAGAUUUAAAGAAUAAAAACUUUUGUUUAAAUAAUGAAAGUGCAAUUUUCAUGUAUCAAAUAUUAUCAAAAUAUUUUUGUAACUUUCUAUUUUAACAUGUACAAGCUAUUUUUAAAGAUGUGCCAAUAUAAUGAGUCUGAAGCAAUUUGCGAAAUGAACGCCGCGUAAUUAGUUAACUACGUUAAACUGUUUUUAGUAUCCUUUAUAUAUAAAAUUACACAGAACAAAAUUGCGUAUAACUGUUGCUAUUCUUGAAAACAUCUGCAAAUGAUGAUAACCAACAAAUUAUUUAAGUAUCGCUGCAUUAGCGAAUUCCGGUGCCGGAAUUGUCGAAUCAACGUAGUUAGAAUUUUAUUCAUGCAAUAUCAGGAAAUGUUCUGUGGCUAUUAAAUUGUAAUCUUGAGAAAUCGACCUCUCGUGACUCAACUGUUUUCGUACCAAUAUCCUACAGAUACAAUUUUGUGCUCGUCUCGUGUAAAUAGCCAAGCGUUGCGCGUUCAAGGAACAUUUUACAUUUUCUAAUAAUCACUAAGUACCUAUCUCCGUGCGCGCUCAUUUUUCUUUUCUUAAAAGUGUACAUCACGUUCUCGCAAUUUUAUCUGCGCGUUUUACUUAUACGUUCAUUCUUAUUUUCAGAGAAGUUUAGAAGAUAUAUUCAAGCUUUAUAUACAGGAUGAUCCAAAAGUCGUACGUUUUUGUUGCUCAUAAAACAAUUGACACAUCUUGGAUAAAUUGAAAAAGAUUGAAGCAGAUACCAAGUUGAUCCGAUACUUUAAUGAGGCUAUUAUUACAUUUGAAUUUAUAAUAAUAGUAAUUUAAAAAAAAUGAAUUAUAUUAUAUUUACAGAUUUGAAGCCCAACUAUUACAUACAACUUUUAUUUAAAAAAGAGAGAGAAUUUUUAACAUAGGUUUAACAUAUUUAUUUAAAAAAA